rnacentral:lncRNA from 1 species
GGUGGAUCUAUGCGGUCCCAAGGUGUGGGUCCAGAAUCUAUGGGUAUGGUAUCUAUGGAGUGAUGUAUGGGUACAGAUCUAUGGAAUUCAGGCCUAUGGUCCAGGUAUAUCUAUGGGGCAAUGUGUGGGGUCCAGGUGGAUCUAUGGGUCAAUCUAUGGGUCCAGGUGGGUCUAUGGGUCAGAUCUAUGGUCCAGGUGGAUCUAUGGGUCCAGGUGUGGGUCAGAUGUAUGGGGUUGUAUCUAUGGGGUGAUGUAUGGGUCAGAUCUAUGGGUCAGUGUUGUGGACCAUAGAUCUGACCCACAUAUUGCCCCAUAGAUACACCUGGACCCAU